CCUGGCCUACCCCUUCAUCACUCUGUUCACGCCGAGCAGUUUCUCAUCACUAACCUUGCUGUCCACCGCUGUCCCCGCCUCGUUGCAUUCGCUGUCUCUGCCGCCCCCUGUGGCCACUGCCGACAGUUUCUUCAAGAACUCCGAAACCCUUCCGAUCUCCAAAUCCACAUCACAUCUCAACACCAAAACAAUCCCAAUGUCACAUUCGAACCUUUGCGUGAAAUUCUCCCAAACCCAUUUGGUCCAUUCGAUCUCCUUGAUGACGAAACUCCUUUACUCCUCGAGCGACAUAACAACGGUUUAAUCCUGUCGUAUGAGAUUAAUCACGAUGGAGAUCUAUGCAAUGGGUUCUCAGAUGACGAUUUGAAAUCGGGAAAUCUGAGUAAUGGGUUUUAUAAAUUGACAGAAACAGAGAGUACCCUUUUAAGGAUUGCAGCUUUGGAAGGUGCUAACGAUUCACACGCACCUUACAGUGGGUGUCCAUCAGGGGUAGCAAUUAUGGAUUAUGAAGGGAAGAUUUAUAGAGGUUCUUAUGUGGAAUCUGCUGCUUAUAAUCCAAGUUUAGGGCCGGUGCAGGCGGCAUUGGUGGCUUUUGUGGCUGAAGGAGGUGGUGGGUAUGAACGAAUUGUGGCGGCGGCUUUGGUGGAGAAGGAAGGCGCAAAGGUAAGGCAAGAGGACACUGCUAGGAUCUUUCUGAAAUUGGUUUCUCCUAAAUGUGACUUGAAGGUUUUCCACUGCUGUGUUGCUGAAAAUGGUUGUAAAAAGGAUUGAAGAUUGAUCUGAAUUUAACCAAUAUUUGUUCAUUCUGCAAUUGCAAGUUGUCUUGUAAAAAUAUCCACUUUGAUUAUAAUCAAUGAAAUGAAUAAAACAUAUUAAUCCACCAUCCUAUUAGAAAUCAUAUAGUCAACUCCGAAUUAUUUUGUGGGUAAGGUUUUUUUUCUCAUUUGGUAUUCAAUAUUUAUAUUGAAAUUCGAUUAAAUUUAAAUUUGGAUCAGAAAAUUUUACAUUAGAAGUAAAGCCGUCCCUAAUAAAGGAGACGACUCUUUACUACAAAAACUCUAGGCUUAAGUUGAUGGUAGUUCAUGAGAGUGAUGCUUGUUUGUCCUGUAACAAAUAAAGGUGGCAAAAUGAGCACCGCAUAAUCAAUAAUUUUGGCAUCAUUUUACCUUUCUGUCAAUAUGUCAACUACCAAGUCACGAACGUGAGAUUCUAAAAGCUGGCAUAUGCCUUACCAUCUUGAUUAACAUUAUUUUAUUAAUGAUAUUUGUGUUCAUUUAAAUUUAUGUGAUGUAAUUUAAUCGAGCAUAAAAUUUAAGAAAAUAUUAUAAUAUAUUAAAACUAGUCUUUAGGUCUGUUUGACUAUGUGAAAUGAAAACAUGAUUUGGAAUUAUAUUAGGUAAAAUUGAAGUUUUGUUUGGACAUGCAAUUUGUAUUUUAAAGUUGUAUUUUUUACUCAUAAAUAUAAAAAAUCUCAUAAGUAGUGAAAGCUAUCGAAAUUACUUCGAUUCUUUAUACAAUCUUACCAAAAAUGCAAAAGUUCAAAAUAAAAGUAUUAAUACACUAUUACAAAGCUAUUAUGAAAAAUACAAAAUCAAUUGAUCAAGUAGUUCAAUUAAAAAGGUAAAAUUGAACAUGAGUUAUAGUGUAUUAUAUUUGUCGAGACAUUUAUUGGUCAAUAUCAUUAGUAAUUAUGUCAUCAUGUUCAUAUUUCUUGAAUAUUUCAUCACUCAUUUGAUAUUCUCAUAAAAAUAUUAUAUAAAUAUAAAAUAAUUAUUUUACGAUAUUAUAAACUUAUGGGUAAAAUUUUAUAUUUUAAAAAUACGAAAUCAUGAUAUGAAAUUCUCAAAUCAAGCUAUUUAGAAAAUUUAAAAUUAUGAGAUGGAAUUGCAAUGCCCAAAACCCUACUUAAAAUGUAAAGAAUACACUUUUUACGGAUAUUUUAUCAAAUAAGUGAAAAUUCAAUAUAAAUAAAACAUUGAUAAUCUCAUUAAAUAUCUAUCAAAUAAAGAAUGUGUUCAAUACUUUUGAAAUUAACUUUUUUUUUUAAAAAAAAAAUCACUAAAAUGGGAAGAAAACGAAUAAUAUUUUAUUGUGUAGUCCGUAUCAUGUAUGCACUUGCAUUAUGUAAAAGUGAAGGUCAAAUUGUACUUUCCUAUUUUCCACAGCUUCUUUAUGUCCUUUUUUUCACUCAUCUUUUCUCCUUUUGAUUACCUUUUUACUAAAAUAGACAUGUUAGGAUUAGCGUCUACGCAUAAUCCUCUUAUAAUUGGUUCUUGAUCAUGAAACUCUUUUUUUAUAGUAUAGUAAAAUUCUAUCUUUUUUUUUGCUUUUCUUUGAAUCUCAAAAUUCAUCCCCUUUUGAUCAAAUUCUAUCAAUAAACUUGAUUGCCUUAUUUAAUACUCUCUUUAUUUUUAUUUAUUUGUCAAAUAUUUUCUAAUUUGAUUUCUAUUUUUACUUGUCAUUUUUGAUAAAUCAAGGAAGAACUUGUCCCCUAUAAUAUUCUUAAUUUAUUAAUAUGGAGUUAAUUCUUUGAAAAAUAUAGUGAGUAAAUAUAUUUGAGACUCUAUUAUUUAAUAAGGAUAAAAUGAUAAAUUCAUUAUAUCAAUCAUUAUUUUUUUUAAUAGGUGUCAGGUUAAAAUUUGAUAAGUAAUAAGAGACGGAGGGAAUAUAUUUUAAUAAAUACGGCUGACAGUCCAAUUUAAAUAGGUGUCAUCCUUAUCAUGAUUUCUCAUGAUGAAAUUGAAGAUAGUUUAAGAUGAUUUUUCUAUCACAAAGUAACAAAAUUUAUGUUUGUUUUCAGUAAAAUUUGAGGUGAAUUAGCUGGUGGAAUAUAAAAUUAUAAUUUUGAAAUAAUUUAUGAGAUUAUUAGGAAAUUUAUCCACGUUUUGCAUUAUUGUAAAAUUAGAUAUCAUUCAAUUGAUAAAAUAAUAUUUUAUUUUUAUAAAAUCUUAAUUUAUAUAAUAUAGUUUGAUUGGAUAGGAAAUUUUAAAAAUAAGAGAAAAAUUUAUAAUAUCUUAAAACUAUUCUUAAAAUAAAUAAAAUUUUAAAUUAAAGAAAUACCUUUUGUGGAUAUUUUUUAUACAAAAUAAAUGAGAUCCACCGUAGUAUCAAUUAAAUAUUUUUAAAAUAAAUUAACGCGUCACUAUUUCUUAAAUUAAUUAAAAAAAUUGUGUGCUACAUAGGUUAGAACAAAGCGAGCAAUAUUUUAUUGUGUACUUUGUAUUAUAUAUGAACUAUUAUUAUGUAAAAGGGUGGAAAUCAUUUAUACCUUCAACUUUACUUAAAAAUCAAAUCUUUCUCCUCAAUUUUGAGAAAUAAUCAUUCUCUUCCUUUAUUUUUAAUUGACUUUUUUUAAUUGUCUAUUCUAUUAUAUAUUACAUUAUCAACCUUUAACUUUUUUAUACUUCUUUUAAAAUCAUUUUUUUUUUACUCUGUAUAACAAUUUUUGAAUAAUUUUUUUUAAUUUCGUCCAAAAAAGAGAAAAAUAUUAAUUGAAUAUAUAUUUUAGUAUUGUUCUAAAUAAAUAGAAUAAAAAAUAAUGUUAUUAAUUUUAUCAAAUCUAUAAUAUGAUAACCUUAUAAAUAUAUGUUGAUGCAAGUAAUAAAAAUAAUUAAUAAAAUUUGUUGAGCAUUGCUUGGUAGCAACUGAAAUUGUUUGUUACUGGGAAAUAACUUGUACUUGGUUUUUGGUUGGCUGUCCAACAAUUGUUUCAUUCUCAUUUUGUGUACUUAGUUUCAAUAAUUUUUUUCUACCCAUAAUUACCUAUCCUGCAAGAAUUCUCGAGUAAGUUAACCUAAAAUAUAAUUUAAGCUCCCUUUGAUAAGUUCAAUAUCAAAAUAAAAUAGUCAAAAUAGCUUACCAUCUAGCAAAUAUAUGUUUAGAAUCAAGGUUUUGUACAUCUUUUUACAAAACAAAUUUUGCAACUUUACAAUCAAUGUGUAGUAAAAACUUUUAUUUAGUAAAUCUUCUUGAAAUUAUAAAAUGCACAAAAUAAUUGCUAAAGUUUCCUUCUUUAUAGUAGGAUAAUUUUGUUGGGCUUUAUUCCAAUGUUUGGAUGCCAAUGUAAUGAUAUGCUCUUUGUCAUUGUUUCCUUGCUUCAAAAUAUCACUAUAACCAAUAUCUGAUACAUCAUUUUUAACUAUUUUGAAUGCAGAGGGAUCAAGAAGGGAUAGUCAUGGAAGGUCUUUAGCUUUAAACUUUAUUUCUUUAAUGACAUUGGAGUGGAUGUUGGCCCAUGGAGGAGGGGAUUUAUUCAAUCUAUCAUGAAGAGGUUUUAGUAAAUUACUAAGUCUUGGAAUAAAAUCUUCUAUGUAAUUGACACAUUCCAAAAUCUUUGGAGCUGAGUUUUGUCAAGAAUUUGAUCAGGAAGUUUAUAAGCAAAUUGAAUGGAUCGUUGGAUAGGGAUAAUAGUACCUUGUUGGAUAUUAUGUCCAAACAAUUGAAUAUUAAUUUGAAAGAGACUAUACUUAUUCUUGGAUAGAACUAAGCAGGGGCAGCUCUAUGCUUUGGAAAAUAAGGCCUUUGCCUUAGGCCCCCAAAUUUCGGGGGACCCCAAAUUAUUGUCAAGAAUAAAUUAUGUGUUCAAACUUUUAUAGAAAAUUAAUUAUUUAUGAUAAAAAGUAUAAUUUUUUAAAAUAAAUUAUUUUAUCCACUUUAACAUCUUUUGUACUUUAUUAAAAAUAAAAAUUAAUAGUGAAAAGUGUUGAACAAAGUGAAUUACAAAUUCUUUUUUAUUCUUUUUAAAUUUUAGCUUCAAGCAUUACUAUAAGCAUAUUAAAAUGAGGUAUAUCAAGUCAUCAACUUCUUGAGUCAAAUUCUAUGGUUCUAACUCUUAUUUUUAUUUAAUAUUUAUCAACUUAUUACUUAUAGCAUUAUGUUAACAAUACAUAUAAUAAUUGUUUCACUUAAAGCAUGUUUUUCAAUGUUGAGUUGAUAAAAUCAUACCUAAAACUAGUAACUGAAAAAACAAUAUUAAGUACUAGUAAUUUUCAUCUAAAUAGUGUAAUUUUUUUUUGAAUAAAUACAUAUAUGAAGUAUAUUUAUAUUUUAGGCCGCGAAUUAAAAUUUUGCUUUAGACCCCCAAUUACGUUGAGCCGCCCCUGGAACUAAGCCAUUCUCUUUGAUGACAUUGAAGAAAACUUUUAAAUGUUUCAAAUACUAGUAGAAAAUACUAGGACAUCAUGAAUGUAAAUUAUAAGAAAUUUUGAAAAAAGAUUAAAAAUAUCAUUCAAUAUUUUUUAAAAUUUUGAGGGAGUAAUUUUUAGUACAAAGGGCAUAACAUUCCAUUCAUACUGCUAUCAUAAAAAUUAUUUUUUAGCGAUUUCUUGUAUAGGGAUAGGGAUAAUAGUACCUUCUUGGAUAUUAUCCUAGAAACUGAAUAUUAAUUUGGAAGAGACUAUACUUAGUCUUGGAUAAAACUAAGCCAUUUUCUUUGAUGACAGAAAUUUCAACCCCCAGGAAGUAGCUUAUAAAGUACUUAGCCCUGCAAUAAAUUUCAUCUUAAAAACUCCCGUAUAUACACAAAAAAUUUAUGGAUGGAUACUCACAUAUACCUGAUCUUGCUUGUUCAAAACUCAUAAAGACAAGCAAACACAAACAUAUGUUACCCAGAUACCAUACCUCAGUGAUUUUGUAUAUCUUUUUUCAAAAUAGAUUUUGCAGCUUUACAAUCAAUGCAUAGUAAAAACUUUUAAUUUAGUAAAUCUGGUUGAAAUUUUGAAUUGCACAAAACAAUUGCCAAAAUUUCCUUCUUUAUAGUAGGAUAACUUUAUUGGGAUUUAUUCCAAUGUUUGGAUGCAAAUACAAUGAUAUGAUCUUUAUCAUUUUUUCUUUGUUUUAAAAUACCACCAUAACCAAUAUCUUAUGCAUCCAUUUCAACUAUUUUGAAUGCAGAUGGAUCAAGAGAGGAUAGGCUGUGACAGUAGACAAGCCACCAUUGAUGCAAAAAUCUUUGAGAAAAUUUAGAGACUAACUGAUUUCCCCAAAGGAGGAAGCAUGAAUUGUUUGCUAAUGUUAUUUUGAAAAGUGAAGACAUUCAUACAUGUAUUUUGGUAAUCAAAAUAAUUGUAAUUUUGGUAUUCAAAUGAUUGGGGAAGUAUUUUGUACUUGGUUGGGUACAUGCCCCAUUCUAUGGGUGACAUUUUAUAUAUAAGUAUGUAUGAGAAGUAAAAAUAAAUAAAUAAAUAAAUUUUUCUUACAGUCACACGAAGUGUGGAUAAUUUCACUAAAUUUUAGAGUAUAAAAGAAUGUGAGUAUAAUGAGUUUGGAAUUUAAUGGCCAUUUAUUUAAGUUGCCACUAAAAAUUGAUUAUUUGUAGUUAAAGUUUAUUUUCUGGUAUUAUAUGAGGUUGGAAGAAAAAUUAGUGGCAAUUAGUUUAUUGCACCUAAAUACAUGCCAUUAAAACCCUAUUAUGGUGUAGUGAUGAUAUUUAUAGAAAUAUUGUUGCUUCAGAAACCUAUCAAAUAUCUUAUUAUUGAGAUUCGUCCUUAUUUCAUAGUUUCAGAUGUGUGCCUUACCUGGACUAUGGACUUAGCCGAGCAACUGAAGAUACCUAUACUUAUGUUUUAUCCACAUAAUCUUAUGUUCUGCUAUGUUGGACAUUGUUUGAACGUGUAUACACCUCAUGAGAAAGUAAUUUUAGAUUCAUAAAGUUUAUUGAUUCUGAAUUUACCAUAUCAAAUUAAAAUUAAAAGAUCUCAAUUUUUGUAUGAUAUUAAAACCAAUUCUGAAGGUCCAUACUCGGAGAUGAUGAAGAGAAUUAAAGAAUUAUACCCUUGGAGCUGUAUGUGCUCUGAUUCAUAACACUAUCUAUGAACUGAAGACUACUUACACGAAGCUUUAGAAGGAAAUAAUGGUGAAAAAUCAUGGUUGAUUGAUUAUUUGUUUCACUUUUAAAGAGAGAAGAGUUGAGCAAUUCGAGAAAUACUAUAAUACAAGAGCGAUACAACAACCUAAGUUAUAUUGGUUCUCAGUAACCAAACUUGAUCGUGUACAUUUGUUCUUGAUGUAUGGGGUGGUUUUUGAUGCCGAGCUCUAUGAAAUAGCCUUUGUUCUUGAGACCUCAAAUUCAUUAUUCUUUGGGUAGUAAGGAAGGGUGACAAACCCCAAGAAAAUGAGUGAGAAAGCUCGAUGCUUCCUAGCUUCAAGGAAAAAAUGUUGACAAACAACAAAUGUUCCUUAGUUAGAGCAUAAGUUCCACACCUAAAGAUUUUGGCCAAUCCAGAGCAAAUGAAGCAUUCCCGACUCAUUGUGAAUGCUACCUUGGAAUCUUUUACAGCUCGAAUGCCAAUGCUGACAUGACCCUUGUUUGUGGAGAAGUCCUACCAUGAAAAGAUGAGGUAGGUUAUUUGAUGUGGGGUUAGGGAAGAGGUGUAUCACAUUACUUUUGACAUAACAUGUUAUUUGAUGUGGGGUUAGGGAAGAGGUGUAUCACAGUACUUUUGACAUAACAAACACAAUGAUCAAGAAGGGGAAGAUAGAGGAGAGUGUAAAAAUAUUGAUGAACACCUCGAGGGAAAGUGAAAUGAUCAAAAGAAGAGCAAAAGACCUCGAAGCAAUGAUUAUGAGGGAAGUGGAGAAAGGAAGCUUUUUUAUAAUCAUCUAAUGACAUUAAUAAAGGAUCUCAACUAUCAUAUUUUCCGUACCUUAAAAGAGUAAUUUAAAAUUGAAGGCACUUAGCUCUCCUAAUAUUUCCUACAAUAAGCAUCAAGGAUGUUGACCUUGCUUGUAUGUUACACCACAAGAUAGAAUAAAAGAGAGAACGAAAUAACAUGUUAUGUUUCAAGCAAAAUAUUAUAGAUAACAAAUCUAGAGUUUUAAGCAAUACUUCACAAUGUCUCGAAUAUAGAUAUUGACAAAAGUGAGUUGCUUUUGAGUAGGGUAUAUAGUUGUUGUUCAUUCUAACUUUUGAAGAUCGCUAUUUUUGCAUAUUUGAGAGGCGAAGUAUGUGGUAAGCGAUGAAGAAAACUAAGUUACUCGAGGAAGAAGUUUAUCAUCUUUUGACCAUCGGUCCUAUAAACCAAUAACGACUAGUAGAUCGCUUCUCUGGUUUCACACAGUCAACAACUACCAGAUUGGUAGCAUAGAAAAACAAAGCCUUUGAUGAAGUAGAAAGAGAAACAACAAACCAACCACAUUGUCAAAAUAACAGAUAGCAAUAGCAUGGAUGUUGCGCACAUACUGUAUUAAUUGUUCAAUUAUAAAGAAGAUAAGAACCAAAUUAGACACAUGACCACCAUGUCGAUGAGGACUAACAAUGUCACAUAAUUAUUCUUAAAUUCAUAACAAAGUAAUGUCAGAAAAGAGCUGGAUACUGCUCAGCCUGUUGUCUCACUCGUCUCUUAUACUCAACAUUAUCCUGCAAAAUUAAGGUCACAUAUUGUAAUGAAAAUCCAAAAAAUAGGAAUUAAAAUGAUUUUCUCAAUAAUCACAUUUCAAAUGCACCAUAUUCUAUGAAUGGAAACAAAAACUUAAUUUUCUCAUUACCAUUUAACCAAAAUUUGUAAGCAAUCAAUUGACAUUUGGAAUCCCUCCUACAAUCCAAUAGUAUCUCUAAAAUAGUUUUAAUGCAUUUAAUACAUAGUAAAUUUUAAUUUUUUACCUAAGCAUCCAUGUAAACAUUUCUCAAUUGAAAUCAUCAUAAAAUUUCAGAUAAACAAGCUAUUGUGAAUAGUACCAAUAGACAAAAUCAAAAUGGCAACUUGAGUUUUAAAGAUUUUUCUUUAAAAAAAUUCUCAAUGAAGUACACAUCAAGCUUGAGUAUUUACCUGUAUAUAUAUAUUAUAACCUUCUAUUUGUGCUGGAUUAUUAAGGUUUGGCUGAUCAAGCAAAUAUUGAAUACCCACCAAAAUUUGUUUAACUGGCAGGACUCCACCCCUAAACAAUGUUAUAAAAACACAAUAACCAUAAGAGUCAUCUUGAAGCCGAUAUACAAAUUUACAAAACUAACAAAGUAACAAAACAACAAUGACAAGAACUUACAAUGUCAUCAUUAAGGAUAGACGGCAGAUAUACUUUUCCUGAUGGAUAAACAUUAGGAUGAAAGAAACCUUGAGGAAACUUGCACUUGGGUGGCUUGUAAGGAUAGAUUUCACGAAAGUGCAUUGUUAUUGGAUAGAAGCCACCUUCCCAGUCAGUCUGUACCAUAUCAGUCAAAUAUAUCAUAUCACUAUUGCUGACAAAUAUUAGAAGAAAGAACUAGGAGAAGAAGAAAGUAGAGUAUCAACACCAUAAAAUCUUGCAAAAUCCAUGAUGAGUUUCACAUUACACCCUAAUGUACUACAACUAAUAAAAUUCAUAAGCUUACAGAAAGUUUCCAACAUUUAUUAGAGCAUCAUUCAGGAACUCAAAAAUAGUCAGAGAGAAGGAGUUUUUCGCACAUGAAAUGUGAAAGGAAUGUCCCAUGAUCGUUUACACAAAUGACUUAUCAUACUAAAAGCACUUCAAAAAGACAUCCUCUCAUUUAUAUGAAAUUAAUACAUAAAAAAAGAUUAAAGUUCAAACCUUAUGGUAAUUUUGGACUACAAAUAAUAAAAUUCAUAAGCUUACAAAAAGUUUACAACACUUGUUAGAGCAUCAUUCAAAAACUCAAAAAUAGUUAGAGAGAAGGAGUUUUUCUCACUUGAAAUGUGAAAGGAAUGUCCCAUGAUCGUUUACACAACUGACUUAUGAUACUGAAAGCACUUCAAGAAGACAUCCUUUCAUUUAUAUGCAAUUAAUACAUAACAAAACGAUUAAAAUUCAAACCUUAUGGUACUUUUACAAAAUGGACUUUUGCAUCAUCACAAAGAUCAUAUUUUUCCUACUCUACAUAUUAAAUCCAGGGAAUCACGCACACAUACAUACCUUACAAGGCUAUAAGGUUAUAACUUUCUUUUGUUUAGAAAUUUGUGAAAUAACUCGAAGGACUUGAGUGACUCUCAAAAUGUAACAAACAUUGAUUUUAGGUUCAUAGAUGACAAUAUUUUUCAUAAAAUCACCGACUACAACUGUUGAAAAUAAGGAUCAAGCUGAAGAUAAAGAUUCAAUUUAUCAACAUGGUUCAACUAUUAGAAGUCUUGUUAGCUGUUAAAGAAUUAAACUCGGACUUGGACUAGGCUAUGUAGGUAUAGUAGUAGUUAACCUCUACUAUUGUAAUUGUAUUUUUAAUAUACUAUAACUCUAAUGCUAACCUAGGACUCUACAAAUCUACAACUCUAUAUCAACCUCUACUUAAAUGAUUAACCAUCAAUACAUAUCUUGAUUUCUCUCAAUUAUUGUUGAGAAUUCUACAUGGUAUAAGAGGAUUAAGAUCUUCCGCUGUCUAAGUAUUGAAUUCAAAAUAAUCACACGUCUAGCUGAUAUGGAUCCCUCUACUAAUACUCUGUCCACUUCUUCCUUUCACCACCUAAUUGUCUCUUGUUCCAUUAAACUUGAGCUAACAAACUAUCUCAUAUGGAGGACACAAAUGAUGUAGUUGAUUUAUGUGAUAAGAUUAACUUAUAUCAUCAAGGAGAAUAUACCAAUUGUGAGUGGUCAUUCUACUGGAAAGGCUGUUGAGAAAGUCGUGGCUAUAAGUGUUGAGGAUGAUGCAUAAUAUAGUGACAGUGUUGAUGACCGGAGGUGAAAAAUGUACCACUAAGGAAGUGGAUCUCAAGAACCUUGAUAGAAGAAGGCAUGUACUUUAUUGUGGGUUUCUCAACUGCCAAGGAGAUGUGAGAAUGCUUAAAAAAGCCUAUCUUCAAGCACCAAAAGAUAAGGUGUUUUAGCUUAAACAAUAAUUGCAAAGUGUUAGGCUAGGAACCAUGAAAAUUGAUGAUUACAUUAAGAAAUUCAAAGGUAUCACAAUCCUGUGGAUUAAGAUAGAAAAGUAAUCAUUUUUUCUAGAGGUUUAGGUCUCAAGUACAAGACCUUAAGGACUUUCAUGCUAGGUAAUGCACCAUAUUCCACUCUUACGCAAUUUGUUAAUUCUCUUAGGAUUCUUGAUAUGAAAGAGGAUGAAGAAGAAUUGCUACUACAGAACCUUAACAUGGCAUUCUUUUCCCAAAGGUGAAGGGGAAGAGGAAACUACUCUUAGAGAAGUGGAAACAACAACUUCAACUCCAAAGGAAGGGAUCUCAAACCUCUUGGACAAGGAUCAAAUAUUGAGAAUAAUCAAAGCUUUCAAAGUAGAAAUAAGGAUAGGAAUACUACCGAGUCAUUUAAAAUUUGUGGUAGGAAUAAUCAUACUACUCUUAAGUGCUUUUACAGAUAGGACUACUCUUGUCAAUAUGUAGAUGAACUACCACAUGCAUUGGCUGCUAUCAAUCUUCAUAGUACAUCAUCUACAUAUGAUACUUUGUAUAUAGACUCAAGAGCCAGUAGUCAUAUGAAAUAUAACUCAUGUAUUCUAUCUAAUUUAAACACUACAGUGGAUUUUAUAAUUUUUUUGUUGGAAUGGAUCACAAUUAGACAUAACACAUGAUGGGAAUACACCAAUAUCAUCUCUAAAAUAAAUAGAGGUCUGUGUAGUUCCUAAGAUUGCUGAGAAUCUACUCUCAGUUUGUAAAAUUGCUAAGGAUAAUUGUUGCACUCUUGAAUUUGAUGAAACUAACAUUGUUGUAAAGGACAAGAAGACAAGGACACUACUAACCUAGGGAUCUAAGAGAAGUGAACUCUAUGCUUUGACUCCUACACAAGAUUGGAAGACAUCAAGCAUCAUAUGGCAUAAUAUAUUAGGACAUCCUAGUUUCAAGAUGUUAAAAUUUUUGAGUACUUGUAGUUGCAUUAAUGUUAAUAGUUGGAAUAAAAUGCAUAUUUUCUGUUCUAGUUCAGUUGGACAAAACUUUUAAACUUCUACUUGACUUGAGGAAUAAAAUUGAGAAGGAAUCUUUAUCGAAAACACAUUCUGAUUUGUGGGGUCCUUCUCCUGUUGAAUAUUCUCAGCAUAUGAAAUAUAAUCAUGUAGUGUUUGUAGAUGAUUACACAAGGUAUACGUAGCUUUAUCCAAUGAAAAAGAAGUCUGAAUUUUUUGAAGUAUUUGUUAAAUUUCAAAAAAUUGUGUAAAAACAGUUCUCUAAAGAGAUUAAUAUGCUCCAGUGUGAUGAAGAUGGUGAAUUAAUCAAAAUAGACUUCAUUAAACAUCUAGAAAAUUGUGGUACUAUUAGGCACAUUUCAUGUCCUAACACACCUGAAAAAAAUGGAGUCUCAGAAAGAAAGGGUCUCCCCUCAUUCGGCUCUCUGCAAGGGGAUCUCCACUCACUGCUUCCCCUAAUAUCCUCCCUUUUCCACAUCAUGGGGGCUUACAGCAGAUCCCAGAGGCUUGGACAAACGCAUAUUGAUGAGAUUGUAUUAACUCUUGUAUUACAUGCUAAUCUUCCUUUGUUUCUAUGAGUUGGGGACUUUCUCACUGCACUAUUUCUCAUUAAUAGACUGUCGUCCUCAGUCUUAAAUAUGGUUACUCCAUUUUUUAGGUUAUAUGGUGAGCAACAUGAUUAAAACAUCUUAAAGGUGUUUAGUUGUAGGUGCUUCACGUAUAUCAAGGGUAGUACCAAGUUUAAUUUGAAGACCUACCCUUAUGUGUUCAUAGGAUACAACAGAUUGCACAGGUUUACAGAUGUUAUCAUCCGUUAACAAGGAGAGUGUAUGUGUCCAAACAUGUUGUUUUUAUGAAAGCACAUUACCUUUUAUUCCUCUAAAUAAAACUUAGACUAAUAUUGGUGUCUCACCUCAUCUAGCUAUUUUUUUUUAGUUUUUCUCAAAAUUGCCAGCAUAUGAUGAUACUAAUUCAGGAGAUGUAUUGACUACUGUGUCAACACCUAGUGAGCAUCUAGUUUUUACAUGCUUCGGAACUUUUCUAAACGGAAGUUUACAUGCAUUACAAAGCUCUUUAAAUUGAUUAAUUCUACUACUACUAUUCAUAUGAAAAAUAUAAAAACAGGCAUUAUCAACCUUAUCACAACUAUUUUCAAAUAAUUUCACACCGUCACUAACAACCAAAUUUAAUAAAUGCGCAGCACAUCUAACAUGAAAAGCAUAUUUACUAAUAGGACAAAGUCUAGGUUCUAGCAUAUUAAUAGCAUUUAAAUUAGCAGAAGCAUUAUCUAAAGUAAUACUAAUGACUUUAUCACAAAGACCGAAAAAAUCUAAAAUUUCCAACACAGUAGUAGCAAUAUACAUUCCAGUUUUUUUCUUUUGACAAAUUUUAUAACCAAUAAUUCUUUUUUGUAAAUUCCAAUUAUAAUCAGUCCAAUGCGCAGUAACAGUUAAAUAAUCAAAACCAUUAGGACUACGACCCAUAUCAGUGGUAAUAGCAACUCUACAAUCCAUUAUUUCAAAAUAAGCACGCAAAUAUUGACAAUGUUUUUCUUGAAAUUCAAAAAUAUCUCUUUUUACCAUGNNNNNNNNNNNNNNNNNNNNNNNNNNNNNNNNNNNNNNNNNNNNNNNNNNNNNNNNNNNNNNNNNNNNNNNNNNNNNNNNNNNNNNNNNNNNNNNNNNNNNNNNNNNNNNNNNNNNNNNNNNNNNNNNNNNNNNNNNNNNNNNNNNNNNNNNNNNNNNNNNNNNNNNNNNNNNNNNNNNNNNNNNNNNNNNNNNNNNNNNNNNNNNNNNNNNNNNNNNNNNNNNNNNNNNNNNNNNNNNNNNNNNNNNNNNNNNNNNNNNNNNNNNNNNNNNNNNNNNNNNNNNNNNNNNNNNNNNNNNNNNNNNNNNNNNNNNNNNNNNNNNNNNNNNNNNNNNNNNNNNNNNNNNNNNNNNNNNNNNNNNNNNNNNNNNNNNNNNNNNNNNNNNNNNNNNNNNNNNNNNNNNNNNNNNNNNNNNNNNNNNNNNNNNNNNNNNNNNNNNNNNNNNNNNNNNNNNNNNNNNNNNNNNNNNNNNNNNNNNNNNNNNNNNNNNNNNNNNNNNNNNNNNNNNNNNNNNNNNNNNNNNNNNNNNNNNNNNNNNNNNNNNNNNNNNNNNNNNNNNNNNNNNNNNNNNNNNNNNNNNNNNNNNNNNNNNNNNNNNNNNNNNNNNNNNNNNNNNNNNNNNNNNNNNNNNNNNNNNNNNNNNNNNNNNNNNNNNNNNNNNNNNNNNNNNNNNNNNNNNNNNNNNNNNNNNNNNNNNNNNNNNNNNNNNNNNNNNNNNNNNNNNNNNNNNNNNNNNNNNNNNNNNNNNNNNNNNNNNNNNNNNNNNNNNNNNNNNNNNNNNNNNNNNNNNNNNNNNNNNNNNNNNNNNNNNNNNNNNNNNNNNNNNNNNNNNNNNNNNNNNNNNNNNNNNNNNNNNNNNNNNNNNNNNNNNNNNNNNNNNNNNNNNNNNNNNNNNNNNNNNNNNNNNNNNNNNNNNNNNNNNNNNNNNNNNNNNNNNNNNNNNNNNNNNNNNNNNNNNNNNNNNNNNNNNNNNNNNNNNNNNNNNNNNNNNNNNNNNNNNNNNNNNNNNNNNNNNNNNNNNNNNNNNNNNNNNNNNNNNNNNNNNNNNNNNNNNNNNNNNNNNNNNNNNNNNNNNNNNNNNNNNNNNNNNNNNNNNNNNNNNNNNNNNNNNNNNNNNNNNNNNNNNNNNNNNNNNNNNNNNNNNNNNNNNNNNNNNNNNNNNNNNNNNNNNNNNNNNNNNNNNNNNNNNNNGGCAGGGGCAGAGGCAGGUGCAGGGGCAGGGGCAGGGGCAGGGGGCAGGGGCAGGGGCAGGGGGCAGGGCCUCAGGGGUAGCAGGCUUUUCAGCCUUUGCUGACCCCUAGGAGAACUUUCAGCCGUUGCCCGUUGGACUUGGAAAUAUAUAUUAUAUAUUAUAUAUAUAAAAAAAUUAAUCGGAACAGGACCGGACCGGAACGGAACCGGAAUAAACCGGGAUAUACCGGUACCGAUACACCGGUAUCAAAUUGUGGCCGGUACCGAUACACCGGUAUCAAAUCGUGAUACCGUUUCGUCCCGUGUACCGGUUCACGGUGUCCCGUUCCGUCCCGAAUACUUCCGGACCGGAACGAACCGGAAUGGUACCGGUACAACCCGGUCCAGCGCCCAGUCUUAUACCCAUCCUCUAGAUCUGUACCAUAGCCCUUCUCCCCUUCGUCUCUUGAUGAGUAUUUGUUUGCUAGGUUAGUAUUUAACUCUGUGUAACAUAGCUGCAUUUCCUUGAUAUAUAUUGUAAUCAACUGUAUUAGCCGUUUUGUUGUAUUUUCUUUUUCUGGUACUGCUGUGUUUCCUAUUUCGCUUCUCGUAUCUUGUGAUUUGUGGCUGCACCUUCUGCUUUGUUUUAUGUAUCAUUAUGAGUGAUUCUGCGAGUCUUGAUCCUAUAGUUAGGAAUUUGUGCUUUAUCUGAAUUUAGGAUCUUCCUUAACACCAGAGGGAGCUCUUGCCAAGCCUGAUAUUCAUGAUCUGUUUGUGAUUCAAUGGCUAUAUUAGCCAAGGCGUCAGCCAAACAGUUACCCUCUCUGAAGACAUGAGUAAUUGUUGCUCUGGUCUUCUGAAGUAGCUCCCGUAUUUCCUCCACCUUUUCUAUUAUUUCCCAAGGAAUCCUCCAAGUCUUCAGAAUGAUCUUCUUGAGACUUAAUGAAUCUGUUUCAAUGAUAGCAUUCCAUAACCUUCUUCUCAGACACAGAGCUGAAAGAAUUGCAACUGUUUAUGCUUCCAUGUUUGUUACAAUUCAUAUUCCUUUAGCGUUAGCAUAGAUUAGAUCACCCCUACUGUCUCUAAUACAAAAACCAAAGGAGCUCUGACCUGGAUUUCCUUGGCAUGCACCAUCUAUAUUACAUUUUACUUGGUGUUCUUCUGGGGGUCUCCAUGUAACUCUUAAGUAAUGCAACUUGGGUCUGUAAUUGUGUAUUCUGAUGAUGACUUCCUACCAGGACCAUUUUAAGUUCUUUAUCCAUGGGAAUUGAAACUUAACCAUUUGUCUCACUACUUCCGAUGUCAUGGUCACCAUGUUUUCAUAGCUAAAGCAACUCCCAUGUUUGAUGACAUUCCUUAUUUUCCAUAAACUCCACAUUAUGAUAGCUGGCAUGGCUUUAUAAAUGCUCUUUAGUUUAGAUGUUGCCUCCUGCUUCCACUAAGCAUUGAUGAGCUGUUGUAGGUGCAUCCCUUCUAUGUUAAUUCCUGCAUGAUUGGAGAAAAACCUCCAUAGUUUAGUAACUAUGGGGGCUGUUAGGAAUAAAUGAGUAAUUGUUUCUUCCUCUUUUCUGUCACAGCACCAACAUCUAGAAACUAUAUUGAUUUUCAUCUCUUAAGAUUGUCAUUAGUGGAUAUUCUUCUCUUCCACACUCUCCAUAAGAAUAAAUUGAUCUUAAAAGGUAGCCCUUUAUUCCAGAUGAGUUCAUAGUCCCUUUUUUUUUUAUCAUGUUUGGCUCUCAUCAAUUCCCAAGCUGAUUUCACUGUGAACCUCCCCUGUGAAUUUGUCAUCCACCAUGCUAUAUCAUUGGUAGACUGGAUAUUUGGUGGUGAAAUAUUCUCCAUGAUGUAAACUGUCAAUUCUGUUGACAAAUUUUGUAGUAACUUGUCUCUAUUCCACCCCUCUGUUAUGCUAAAAUCUUUAACCUCCAACUCUUCUUCCCUUGCAUUCUCCUUUAUGUGAUACUAUGCUUAUUGUUUAGUCCAAUCAUCAAAUCAGAAGCUAGAGUUUCCAGCCUUAACCUACCACAAGAUUUCAUGUUCUACUUCAUCCCUGAUUGCUGUCAUUUUCCUCCACACAUGUGAUGUGCUAAAUCCCUGAGCAAAAAUAGGGUGGUGCUUGUUGCAGUAUUUGUUCCACAUAUAUGCAGCCCAUAAUGAAUUUGUAGAAGUUCUAAAGUUCCACCAAAGCUUAGCAAAGAGGGCCUUUGAUACAUCAUGUAAUGAUCUCCGCCCCAAGCCCCUUUCAGUUUUUGGAUAGCACAUUUUAUCCUAUGCCACCCAGUGCUUAUUCUUAGACCCUGCUGUAUUUGCCCAAAAGAAUUUUGCAAAAAUUCUAUGCAUCUAAUUAAUGACACAAGAUGGAGGGUUCAUAGCUGAUAGAACAUAAAUUGGCAUAGACUGCAACACAUGGGUUAUCAACACAUAUCUACCCCCAAAAGAGAGUAGUUUGUUUUGCCAAAGACUAAUUCUGUUCAUCACCUUCUUAAUCAAAGCUUAAAAAUGAGAUCUAUUCCUCAUCCCAUAAAAAAUGGGGCACACCAGAUAAGUAAAAGGAAAAGAACCUUGCUUAAUACCUGUAAUCUUUUUUUAUUUGUCUGCAAGUUCCUACUGGUACCUUCUCAUGCAAAUAGAAGAGACAUUUGUCAAUAUUUAUCAUUUUUCCAGACACUAUUCCAUAGCCCCUUAAUACAUUCUUCAUCUUUUUCAUUGAAUUAGGAUGUCCUGAAUAAAACAAAAUAGUAUCAUCUGCAUAAGAUAAAUGGUUAAUCUCUGGGCUCCACUUUGGUAAUCCAAAUCCCUUAAAAUUUUGAUCCUUAGAAAGCUUAUUUAGAUUUCUAGCCAGAACUUCAGCUGCUAUGAUAAAGAGGGUUGGUAAGAGAGGGUCCCCUUGCUUCAAUCCUCUAGUUGACUGAAAAAAACCAAAGGAUUGCCUAUUUAUGAUAACUGAGUACCAAUUGUUAGACACCAGCCUUACCACCAUGUCUAUUAUUCUUUCUGAGAAGCCAAAACUUCUAAGCACCUUAGAGAGGAAGAUCCGUGAUACUCUAUCAUACGCCUUCGCCAUGUCUAACUUCACCACCACAUUAGUAAGCUUAUUUCUUCUAUUGAUGUCUCUGACUAUCUCCUCAGCCAAAAGGACAUUUUCAGUAAUACUUCCCCCUUUCAUAAACCCUGCUUGAUUUUGUGAGAUUAUUCCGGGGAACACUGCUUUCAUGUAGCAUCAUUGAUAUAAUCUUAUUAGUGAAUGUGCUUAAGCUGAUAGGUCUCAGGUCCCCAAAGUUAUCAACCACUUCUUUUUUGGGGAUUAAUAUCAGAUUGGAACGAGUAAUAAAUCUUGGAAGUUCUUGUCCACAGAAAAAAGCUCUUACCAUGUUACUGAUAUCCACCUUUACAAUGUUCCAGCAGCAUUGGAAAAAUUUCCCAGAGAAGCCAUCUGGACCACUUGCAUUAUCCCCAUUCAUGGCAAAAACCACCUUUUUGACCUCCUCAUAUGUUGGUAAUCUUCCCAUGUCUUCAUUUUGUUCAUCUGAGACCAAUUUAGGUAUGAUAUCUAACAUUGAGAAAUCAGUGGGGUUAUUAUUUUCCAUUUGCUCCUUAAAAACAUGUGCUGCCUCUUCUACAAUAUUCUGAGUUGAAGUAAUAAGAUCUCUCUGUCUAAAUUUUAUUUCUGAGAUCUGCAGCUUUCUUCUCCUACCCUUGACAUAUGCAUGGAAAAACUGUGUUUUUAUCUCCCUUUUGGAACCAUUUCAUCCCUGCCUUUUGCUUCCAAUAAUCUUCCUCAAUGUGCAAAUAUCUUUUCAGUUCUGCUUCAGCUUUCCUUAGUGAGCUCAUAUUUUCUUCUGUUGGGUUGAUUUCCAGUUGCAUUUCUUUUGCCUUUACAAUGUCCUCCAAAGUAGCUACCUACUGGAAAAAGUUUCCAAAAGUUGUUUUGCUCCACUGGACCAGUGCUAGUUUAACCCAUUUCAGCUUGGUGUGGACAAUUGUAAAAGGUGAUCCUGCAGCCUCUUCUUUCCAAACCUCCUCCACUAUCUUCUGAAAUUUUUUGUGCUUGGUCCAGAAAUUUAGGAAUCUGAAAGGCUUCAAUACUUGCUCUUGAGUUAUGCUACAUGUAACAUGAACUGGAGCAUGACUUGACCCCUCUUUGAUCAAAUGAUACACUUCACUUUCUUGUAAAAUAUUCAUGAAUUCAUUAUUCCCAAAGACUGUCAAGUCUUUUGAAUAUGCAAUCCUGCUCUAUUCUACCAUUCCACUAUGUAUAACAGCUACUAGAGAACUUAAUCUCAUGUAAUGCACAUACAUUCAUGCACUGUACAAAGUUUUCUACCUCACUUUGAGUAACUGACAACCCUCCUAACUUCUCUGAUUCAUCCAGUAUAAUGUUGAAAUCUCCCCCUAUCAACCAAGGGCAAUUUGUAUUAUUUGCUAUUAGCUCUAAGUCCUCCCACAACUCCAAUCUAUCUAAAGCACUACAUCUAGCAUACACUGCAGUUAUCUUGAAGAGACUAUGCGUGUCUUUAUGCUUGAAGGAAGAGGUAAGUUGUUACAUGGUGUCUGUGUAUUCUUGUUCCUCCCAUUCCUCAUCCCAAAACACCAAAAUCUUUGAAGAGUAAUUAACUCUGGCAUACUACUUACUAAUUUUCCUCCUAUAGUUAUCUAACUCUGUUGGACUUUGAAAAGGCUCUAAAAGAGAAAUAGAUGAGUAGUGAUGUUGUAUAUUUAAGUUCAGUAAUCUCUCAAAAGAAUUUUGUGAUUUUACUGACCUAAUAUUCCAAAAUAUAGCUUUAUCUAUCAUUGAUCAAAAUCUGCAGGCCUACUUUUUCUACUCUUUGUAUUGACAUAAGACAAAUAUGGCUUGCUAUAUCUAUUCAUCCCAAGUUUGUCUUUUAACAUCUGUAUUUGUCUAAGUGACAAAUCUCCUUCCUUGCUAAUCUGGUUUAUGUUGGCCUCAAAUGUUUUUUCCUCUUCUGUAUCUUGUUUCUCCUGCAACUCUUGUGGUGACAACUUAUCUAAUUUUGGAUUCUCUACUUUUUCCUUUGUUGGUGUUGUUGCUUUAAUCACCCCUCCGAUUGUGUCUUUUUUUGUUGCCCCUGUGUUGGUUUCCUUAUGUUGUGUUUCACUAAUUACUUCCUCACAUUCUUGCCUCCAUAAAUCAAAGUUGCCAGAAUUAUUUGUUGUAGGGAUCUCUGAGCUAUCAGUUGCAGAAAUUUGUUUCAAACUUGUGCUAGUCGCUCUUCUUUGCAUUGUCUUAGAUGAUCUUGCAUCACUAAUUUGACCUGCUAUCUCCAUGAUUGCAUCCACUUCCUUCCCUACUGCUUUAUUGUUCUUGCCCCCUACUUCCAAUUGUAUGUCUGCAACCUUGGGAUUUUUAUGUUCUUGCUCUGUGUUAUGUUUUUGUGCAGCCUCCAUGUCUUCUUCUAAAGCCCCAAAUUGUUUUUUUGUAUCCACCUAUGAGUUCCUCUCCUGAUGUGGUUUUUGGUUCCAGACUUGUUUUGGUUUCCUUCUUUGAUUGUAGUUUCCUCUUCUAUAUCCAGAUCUUCCCCUCUACUCCUUAAAUUCUAUAUCUUCUGACUUCUUCCCUUUGUCUUUCUUUUCUUUGGCAUUGUCUUCUACAGUAUUUGUUAUUUCUUCUUUCUGUUCCCCUUGAUGAUUUGUUUCUCCCUUUUGUUCCUGCUCCUUUCCAACUUUCUCCUCAUUUUCUUCUUGUGGAUAUAGUUCUGGAUGAAUGAUAUAGCAAUCUUUCUCAUUAUGUCCCUGCAAUUUGCAUGAUCUGCAGUAUUUCAGAACAUAGUCAUAGUUAAUUACCACCCAUUUUUCCACAACGUCUCCUGACUUUUUCCUCAUUCCGAUGUUAAUUCUUUUUGGAAAAUCUCCCAGCAAAUCCACUUCAACUUUCACUCUAGCACAACUUGGCCUCGUUCUGUUUUGAGUAGCCAUAUCUACUUGUAAAGGUCUUUCCACAGCUGCUGCCAUCAAAAAUAUAGUUUCAUUGCCAAAAAAGUUUGGAGGAAGGGAUAGGAAAGAAAUCCAAGCUAUUGUUGUGGUCGUUUCCUCCUCUGGAUCAAAUAAUGGAUCCCAUUUCAGUGUCCUCAUUAGGUAUGACCGAUAAUUAUAUGUAAUGUAAAACUGGGGCUAAGGCUGGUAAACGGACAAGUUUUUGACCGGUCCGGUCCGGUUCCCGUACCGGUAAGUCCGAUACCGAUUGAAUCGGUAAGGAACCGGUCUUAUAGGGUACCAAAAUCGGUACCAAAAUGGAACCCGGUUUUUUAUCCAGUUGAUCCGAUUCGGUAAGAAUUGGUUUCGGUCUGGUUCCUGUCCGGUUGAACCGGUUCAACGGUCUUUUAAUUUUUUUUAUUUUUUUAAGUGAACGUUAAAAUUGAGCCGUUGGGCUGGGGCCCAAAACGGCUCAAAACAGCCCCCCACCCCUCUCUAACCCCUUAACACUAUAAAUAUACCCAUAUUCUUUAUUUAAAUCACAAAUUCACAAAUUAUCUCAUUAACAUCUUACAAAAUCUCUCAAUUUUCAAUCUCUCAUAAAUUCAUAAUUAUUAUUUUGUGAUAUUGGCUUGGAGUUCGGAUUUUGGAGAUUUAUUUGAAGUAAAUCGGAAGCUUCAAUUGGCAUCUCUCAAUUCCGGCUUUGGUUAUACAUCUACUUUUACGUAGACGUUCAGUACAUUCGUUCCAACUUUAAUUUUUUAUUUGUUUAUUAAUUAAGUUUUUUUUUUUGUUAUAUUAUCUUGCUUGUUUUUCAUAAUAUUUAAUUAUUUUAACUACUAGUCCGGCUACCGAAUUACCGGAACAAGAUGAAGUCCCCUCUUUACCUACUUUUUCAAAGACCGUUGUACGUGUUAAAAGAUCUUUAGUAUGGAAAUUUUUGGUACAAAAUGAGGAAAAAACUACUGUUACUUGUACGAAAUGUAAAUUGAUCAUGAAACAUGUAACUACGGGUACACAAGGGGGAACGGGACGACUAAGAACACAUUUGAGAAAGUGUAAUAAAGAAUUUGCUCGCCUAGAUGAUAUAGAAAGGGCUAAUAGAAAUGGAAUACCCAUACCUGAAAAUUCUAUGGGAGUUGGAGGUUCUAAUAUGGUUCAAAGUGAAUUAAAUAUGACUAUCCCGGCUAGCCGAAGCACACACCGCACAUAUAGUAAAGAAAAAGAUCGUAGAGAAUUAGCUAAAAUGGUUGCUGUUUGUGGUUUGUCUUUUUCAUUUCCUUCCCAUCCUGGUUUUAUUCAGUAUAUUCGGGAAUUGUAUAACCCAGAUUAUGAAGGUAUUCCAAGAAGUACAAUUAAAAGUGAUCUUUUUAAAUAUCAAAAAGAAUAUUGUCAUUUUCUUCGUUGUUUAUUUGCUUAUUAUGAUGGUAGAUUAUCUAUUACUUCUGAUAUGGGACGUAGUCCUAAUGGUAAUGAUUAUUUUACAAUUACUGUCCAUUGGAUUGACCAUGAAUGGAACAUGCAAAAACGAAUAUUAGGAUAUAAAUAUGUUGAAGAAACUAAAACCGGUGCUUAUAUAGCAACAAAAAUAGGCUUAAUUUUACAAUUUUAUGGAAUAUGUGAUAAAAUAAUGAGUGUCACUUUAGAUAAUGCUUUUAAUAAUUUGAAAGCAAUUGAUUAUUUAAAAUGUAGACUUUGUCCAAUUGAUAAUGAUUCUUUUCAUAUUAAGUGUGCCGCACAUGUGUAUAAUUUGAUAGUAAAAGAUGGUAUUUCUCAAUUUGGAAUUUCUUGUGAAAAAAUUAGACUUGCUUGUAAUUGGAUUUUUAAAGCUAAAAUAAAAGCUAGAAUUACAGAAUUUAAAAAUCGUUGUAAAGAAUGUGGACUUGAAUAUAGAAAAGUUCUAAAAGAAGUAUGCACUAGAUGGAAUUCUUUAUUUGAAAUGCUUCAAGUUGCUUAUAUUUAUCAAGAGCCGGUAUAAUUAGUUUUUAAUGCUCAUAAUGCGGACCCGAAUUUGAGAAUUGGCUAUGAAGGUUGGGAAAAUACAAAAGAACUUAUUGAAUUUUUAAGUGUUUUUUAUAAAGCAACAAAUGCUGCUUUUGGUCAAUAUUAUCCAACUAUUUCUUCUGUUUUAGUAAAUAUUUGUGCUAUUUCAUCUGAAUUUGCAAAAUAUAAAGGAAAAGAUCGAUUUGAAAAUUCCCUUGCUUUUAUGAUUGAAAAUUUCAAAAAAUAUUUUUUCUCUAUUCCUCAAAUCUAUUUGACUGCUACUUCUUUCAACCUAAAUUACAAAUUAAAAGGUGUUGAAAGAAUGGUUGAAAAGAUUUAUGCAAAUUUAGAAAUUAAAGAUGAUGAAACUCCUAGUGUUGAAGAUUGUAAAAUUAACAUAUAUAUAAAAGCUAGAGAGUUAUAUAAUACAUAUAAAUCUAUGGGAAAAAAUAUUCCAAUAGUUGAACCUUCAUCUUGUAAACCUAGAAGUGAUGAUACGGAUGAUUGGAUGAAUGAUUAUCUUGAGCUUGAAUCAUCUACUAAUAAUGAUUUUGAUUUAUAUUUCAAUCAGGCACGGGAAAAGAUUAGGCAUGAAGAAGGACAACUUCAAGCUCCAAUAUUAGUAUGGUGGAAGAAUCGUGAAAAUCAAUUUCCGACCCUUGCUAGGAUUGUUCGAGAUGUGCUAGCGAUUCAAGCAUCAUCGGUCGCUUCGGAGCAAGCCUUUAGUGCGGCGAGAUUUAUGAUUGGAGAUCAUCGAUAUUCAUUAGCAAAGGAUAGUUUGGAAAUAUCGGUGUUGUUUCGAGAUUGGGUCAAUGCCGAAAGAAGAAAUACCGAACUACCACAAUUAAAUAACCAAAUAGAACAUGAAAUAUUUGGUGAUAAUAGUGAUGAUGGUAUGGAAGCAAUGGAAGAAGAACGACAAAUACAAGUUCCAAAAAAUGUUUCUUUUGAAAUGAUACAAAAGUUACGAAAAGAAUUUAAAAAGAGUUUCAAUUGUUAGUACAAUAAUUAAUAUUCAAUACCUAGAUUAUGUACUCUUUGUCUCUUUCUAAUAUUUGUAUUGUACAAUUUAUUUAUUUGAAUAAAUAUACGGCUAUUCGCCUUGAUUUUCUUUUAAAAUAGUCUCUUAUAUUUAAUCCAAGUCAUUUUAGAAAUUUAAUUUUCAACUAUUUUAAUAUUAGUUUAAAGUUUAAACUUUAAUAUAAAAUUGAAUUUUAAGGUUUAAACUUUAAAUUCAAUAUAAACUUUAAACUUUAAACUUUAAAGUCAAUUUUAAAUUCAAUAUAAACUUUAAAAUUUAAAGUCAAUUUUAAACUUUAAACUUAAAGUUAUUAAUAAAAAAAAAAUCUCGGUACACAAUGAUCCGGUAAGAACCGGUUCUGGUUCGAUCCAAACCGGUUCCUAUCCGGUAACUAAGGGACCAGACGAAACCUUUGGAAAUUUCCGGUAAAACCGAUUCCGGUAAGACCCGGUUCCGAUAACGAGGAUCGAUUUCGGUAUCGAUUCCGAUAAAACCGGUCCUGUUGAUCCGGUCCUGUCCAAUUGCCAGCCUUAACUGGGGCUUUGAUAACAAAUUCACAUAAUCUUCCAGCAGGGAGGCCCGUAUCAAUACAUAUCUGUUACUUAGUAGCCCAAUGUUUACUUCCCCCUUAAGAUCACAUUGUUUUGGUAUUAAUCUCCUCAAUUCUUGGAUAUCUGGCCAUCCAUAUAAUAACUUUCCUAUCACUGCAUAUUGUAGCUUUCAUUAAUGAUCAUCUGUUGUAUCUUUUCUUCCUCCAAAACUAUCUUUGGUUCUCCAUGUAAAUAUGUUAGUGGUUUCAUGGGUAUGGUUUGAUGUGGCGUUAUGGGUGCUAUGAGAGUGUCUGCAUACAAUGUUGUGGUUCCUUCUGCUAUUACUGGUGUUGAGCCAACCUCCUUCACCGGUGGCCGUGGCCAUAGGUUUUUAGGUAUGCAAAUUUAGGUUUUUCACCGGCGGCACGUGAAUUUUUGUUUAUUCCUAGUUGAGUCAAAAUACUAAAUGAUUUUUUUUUAUAUGUUAGGGUUUGUUUUUAAUUUCUUAAAAAAUAUUUUCUCUGGAAAAACAAAGUUGCUUAAAUGAGAAAAAAAUGACUUCCUUAGUCCUAUCUAUUACAAAUAAAUCACGGGUUGUUUUCCAUGCAGCGCCUGAUUUAUCAUUGUGGUUCAACCAAUCUCAUGGAUCACUUAUCACCAAGUGUGAGUACUUCCUUAUCGCGAUCAAUAUCAUUCCCAAAGUAGUGCCUCACAUGUUGUCCAUUUAUCAGAAAAGAAAAGUGGAAGUCCGUUAUGGAAUGGAAGAAACUAGAAAGAAAAAUUAAAGAGAGAACGAAUGAUAACUCUUUGUAUUGAUUCUUGCAUUGAUUCAAAUAGAAGAGUACAUCCCUAUUUAUAAAUAAUUAAGGAGAAUCCUUCUAGAUACUAAACUAAAGGAGAAUCCUUCUAGAUACUAAACUAAAAUAAAACUAAAUAUUUUCAAUUAAUGUAAACCUAGACUUGAAUGGAAAUUAAAUACUAUAAAAUAAUUUUAGACUAAAAAGAAAAAAACAAAAAGAUUCUACCAAACUCCAACAUUCCCCCUCAAACUCAAGUUGGUGUAUCUAACUUGAGUUUGAACAUUUAGUUAUUCUUGAGAAUAUCUUCUCCUUUUCAUUGUUUUUUCCCAAGCUUCUUUUGUCGUCUCAAAUACAAUGAUUUUAGAGAAGAUUGAAUCUGCAACUGAAUUUUGAAUUACAAUUUUGGCUUUGUAUAUUUUGGUUUUCCCUUCUGAGUGAAGUUUGAUUUCAGCAGCGGAAUAAUAAAUUUUUUCAGAGAGUGGUUGUAUGAGUUUAUCUUCCAUUACAGUUUUUCACAAAUCAUAAGCCUCGAGAUAAAACUUCAUCCUAACUGUCAAGAUUUGAUAAUUUUCACCAUUGAAGAUUUGUGGGGCAUUGAAAGAAAGAGUAUUGUUUGUCUUGGUUUGAAAAUAAGGUUUAAAAUAGUAUGAAUUAAAAUUUGUUAUAAGUAGCCCUGCGUUAAAAAUAAAAGCACGGGUUAAAAUUGGGUUGAAAAUAUGUAUGAAAAUAAAGUGGUUGAAAGUUCUUUUUCAAUGAACUCAUAGAUCCAUUAAGAUCAAUGGAAGGCUCUGAUACUACUGUUAUGGAAUGGAAGAAACUAGAAAGAAAAAUUAAAGAGAGAACAAAUAAAAACUCUUUGUAUUGAUUCUUGCAUUGAUUCAAAUAGAAGAGUACAUCCCUAUUUAUAAAUAAUUAAGGAGAAUGCUUCCUAAAGAAGAAUCCUUCUAAAUACUAAACUAAAGGAGAAUCCUUCUAGUUACUAAACUAAAAUAAAACUAAAUAUUUUGCAAUUAAUGUAAACCCUAUACUUGAAAGGAAAUUAAAUACUACUCCCUCCGUCUCAUUUUAUGUGAGGUACUUUGACUCGGCACGGAGUUUAAGAAAGAAAGGAAGACUUUUAAAACUUGUGGUCCAAAAUGAAUGAUAGAAAUUGUGUGGCUGUAAAUCAUUUCAUUAAGGGUAAAAAUAGAACAUUUUAUAGUCAAAUUGUUACUUAAUAUAGAAAUAUGUCAUUCUUUUUGGGACUGACUAAAAAGGAAAGUAAGUCACAUAAAUUGGGACAGAGGGAGUAUAAAAUAAUUUUAGACUAAAAAGAAAAAAAUAAAAAGAUUCUACCAAAUUCCAACACUCUCUUCUCUUUGUUCCACAACUCAAUUGACCCAUGAGGCCUCAUCUUUACCACCUCAAAUAGUCCACACCACUUGGAACUCAGCUUUCCACGAAGCAACUUCAACCUGAAAUCAAAUUGUAAUACCUGUUGGCUUGGCUCAAAAGCGUGAGAGACAAUGUAUUUGUCGUUCCAACACUUCUUCUUUUCCUUGUACAACUUUUAAUUCUCAUAAGCAUAGAGCUUGAACUCCUCAAGUUCGUGCAGCUGCACCAUUUUGUUCUUUCCACCGCUGCCCCCUCCUCGUUGCAUUCGAUGUCUCCGUCGCCCCCUGUGGCCACUGCCGAUAGUUCCUUCAAGAACUCCGUAAACCUUCCGAUCUCCAAAUCCACAUCACAUCUCAACACCAAAACAAUCCCGAUGUCACAUUCGAACCUUUGUGUUGCUGAAUAUGGUUGUAAAAAGGAUUGAAGAUUGAUCUGAAUUUAACCAAUAUUUGUUCAUUCUGCAAUUGCAAGUUGUCUUGUAAAAAUAUCCACUUUGAUUA
rnacentral:lncRNA from 1 species